rnacentral:rRNA from 1 species
AUACGGGGGAUGCAAGCGUUAUUCGGAAUCAUUGGGCGUAAAGGGCACGCAGGCGGUUCUGUCAGUCAGAUGUGAAAGCCCGGGGCUUAACCCCGGACGUGCAUUUGAAACAGCAGGACUUGAGUAUGGUAGAGGAAAGCGGAAUUCCUGGUGUAGAGGUGAAAUUCGUAGAUAUCAGGAGGAACACCGGUGGCGAAGGCGGCUUUCUGGACCAAAACUGACGCUGAGGUGCGAAGGCGUGGGUAGCGAACAGGAUUAGAAACCCUAGUAGUCC